rnacentral:rRNA from 1 species
GAGUUUGAUCCUGGCUCAGAACGAACGCUGGCGGCGUGGAUAAGACAUGCAAGUCGAACGGGAGAAUUGCUAGCUUGCUAAUAAUUCUCUAGCGGCGCACGGGUGAGUAACACGUGAGUAACCUGCCCCCGAGAGCGGGAUAGCCCUGGGAAACUGGGAUUAAUACCGCAUAGUAUCGAAAGAUUAAAGCAGCAAUGCGCUUGGGGAUGGGCUCGCGGCCUAUUAGUUAGUUGGUGAGGUAACGGCUCACCAAGGCGAUGACGGGUAGCCGGUCUGAGGGGAUGUCCGGCCACACUGGAACUGAGACACGGUCCAGACACCUACGGGUGGCAGCAGUCGAGAAUCAUUCACAAUGGGGGAAACCCUGAUGGUGCGACGCCGCGUGGGGGAAUGAAGGUCUUCGGAUUGUAAACCCCUGUCAUGUGGGAGCAAAAUUAAAAAGAUAGUACCACAAGAGGAAGAGACGGCUAACUCUGUGCCAGCAGCCGCGGUAAG